CCUCUUGUAGCUCAGUUGGUUAGAGCGCUGCACCGGAAUCGCAGGGCCGUAGGUUCAAUUCCUACCAGAGGA
rnacentral:tRNA from 1 species